UACGUAGGGUGCAAGCGUUAAUCGGAAUUACUGGGCGUAAAGGGAGCGUAAGCGGACAUUUAAGUCAGGAGUGGAAAUCCCGGGGCUCAACCUCGGAAUUGCCUUUGAUACUGGGUGUCUUGAGUAUGAGAGAGGUAUGCGGAACUCCGAGUGUAGAGGUGAAAUUCGUAGAUAUUCGGAAGAACACCAGUGGCGAAGGCGACAUACUGGCUCAUUACUGACGCUGAGGCUCGAAAGCGUGGGGAGCAAACAGG
rnacentral:rRNA from 1 species